AGGAGGGAGGAGAUGGGCCAAGUUCC
rnacentral:miRNA from 1 species